rnacentral:rRNA from 1 species
UACGAAGGGGGCUAGCGUUGCUCGGAAUCACUGGGCGUAAAGCGCACGUAGGCGGCUUUUUAAGUCAGGGGUGAAAUCCUGGAGCUCAACUCCAGAACUGCCUUUGAUACUGAGAAGCUUGAGUUCGGGAGAGGUGAGUGGAACUGCGAGUGUAGAGGUGAAAUUCGUAGAUAUUCGCAAGAACACCAGUGGCGAAGGCGGCUCACUGGCCCGAUACUGACGCUGAGGCACGAAAGCGUGGGGAGCAAACAGG